GCUGUUCAUACGAUUCCCGAUUACCUUGAAUUGUAAACUAAUUGACAAUCUGUUGUACGAGGAAGCAAUGCCAAAUUGAAUGGCAAUCAAAACGACCAUUCUCGGAUGAAAAAUAAAUGUGUUCAUCUUUGGAAAAGAAAUCUGCUUAUUCUGUGUUUCAUGUCAAGUUGAUUGUUCAAUAGUCUAACUAAAUCAUAUCUGGUGGUCUGAUUAUCGGUGCUCAAACGAUUCUCACAAUUCUUGAUUCAAUCACCUCACCUUUCAAGAGUCGAACCUAAAUCCAACUCUUUUUAUAUCAAUGGGGCAAAUCGUACAUUAGAGUGGUUUCCUGGCUUGUCGAUGCAUUCCUAUCAGUAUAAUAUUAUAAAUAGAUUUUUGCAUCUCAACAUUUUUCUUUAACAAUCAUUGGAUAUCCUUAGGCUUUAAUCUUUCCAUCUCUUCAGAACAAGGAAACGAUAAAACUCCAAUCAAUGCUGUUGAAAACUUAAAUUCAUGACUCUUGCUUACCAAUUGGACAUUGAAAUUGAAGAGUGUUUCUAUGAUGACAACAACUCAGGUUAAACAAGAAACUGAACUCACAUAACAUUAUUAAUAAUGUAUCACUAAUCAAUUGUUUUUCCCUAUUUAUUAUCUUAGCUGGAGUAACAAUCAGUAACUAACCCUUUA